AGGUUCCGGCCAGAGUGGGCUCCUGGCUGGCUCGCCAGACUUCUCCAUCACCGUGGAUGGCACGACCAUCCUUCCCGUCCCGCAGGCCCGCAAUCU